GUGCUCACUUUGGCAGCACAUAUACUAAAACCAGAACAAUACAGAGAAGAUCAGCACGGCCCCU
ensembl:snRNA U6 U6 spliceosomal RNA